rnacentral:rRNA from 1 species
UAGCCUUAUCGGUGGAUCACUCGGCUCGUGGAUCGAUGAAGAACGCAGCAAACUGCGAUAAUUUGUGCGAACUGCAGAAACCUUGAGCACAAAAGUUUUGAACGCAUAUUGCAGCAUUGGGGUCAAACCCUUUGCUACGUCUGGUUCAGGGUCAUUUUCUUUUAAAGCGAAAGCUUUAAUUUAUAUAUGCUAUUGAUGCUUUAUAUUUUAAGAGGUUUGUUGUUUGUCAUAAUUUUAUAAAUAUAACUACAAAAAUCAAGCAACUUUGACCUGAACUCAGUCGAGAGCACCCGCUGAACUUAAGCAUAUCAGUAAGCGGAGGAAAAGAAACUAAACAGGAUUCCCCCAGUAACGGCGAGUGAACAGGGAAAUGUCCAUCGCUAAAUCAUUUUGUCUCAGGCAUUAUGAGGUGUAGCGUAUAAGCCGUAAACUUUGAUCGAGUGUCUCAAACAAGUCCCUUGACAGGGGUUCCACAGAAGGUGCAAGUCCUGUACAUUGAGAUAGUUGAUCGAUAUCUGCGGUGCUUUAGAGUCGGGUUGUUUGGGAUCGCAGCCCAAAGUCGGUGGUAAACUUCAUCUAAGACUCAAUAUUGCCACGAGACCGAUAGCAAACAAGUACUGUGAAGGAAAGUUGCAAAGCACUUUGAAGAGAGAGUUAAAGAGGACGUGAAACCGGUGAGGUGGAAACGGAUAGAGUCGGCGUAUCUCUCAAGUAUUCAUUUACAUUAUUUUUAUGUUGUGAUCUCUGAGCUCCAGAUUGGGACAGAAAGAAGCAGCAUAAUUUUCUGUGAUGCAUUUACUUGUUUGGUGCUUGGGGAUGUUUGAGGCAGAUUUGUGUCCGCCGUUUUGAGGCCAGCUUGCUGGUACCCAAACGGUGUUAGCAUUUUUUGUCUUGAACAUUUGAGUAUGGCUUACGGGCAUUUAUUGGUUCGAUCUGAGUGUAAGUUACGGUCGCAUGCGACACGUGCUUUCCAAUUAGUUCGGUCCAGUUAAUGCUCUCGUACUCGUUCCCCAUGUAAAAGCCGGUCAUCUAUCCGACCCGUCUUGAAACACGGACCAAGGAGUUUAUCGUGUGCGCAAGUUUUUGGGUGUUAAAAACCUAAAGGCGAAAUGAAAGUAAAUGGCUCUUUAGAGUCUGAUGUGCGAUCUAGUAAAAAAGUGCAGCAUGGCCCCAUUCUAACUGUUUACAGUAGGGUGGAGGAAGAGCGUACGCGGUGAGACCCGAAAGAUGGUGAACUAUUCCUGAGCAGGACGAAGCCAGAGGAAACUCUGGUGGAAGUCCGAAGCGGUUCUGACGUGCAAAUCGAUCGUCUGACUUGGGUAUAGGGGCGAAAGACUAAUCGAACCAUCUAGUAGCUGGUUCCCUCUGAAGUUUCCCCCAGGAUAGCUGGAGCUCACGCGUAGUUAUACUCGGUAAAGCGAAUGAUUAGAGGACUUGGGAACGAAAUGUUCUUAACCUAUUCUCAAACUCUAAAUGGGUAUGAUGUCAAAGUUGCUUGAUUAUGAACUUUGGCGUUGAAUACGAGCUCCAAGUGGGCCAUUUUUGGUAAGCAGAACUGGCGAUGUGGGAUGAACCAAACGCGGAGUUGCGGUGCCAAAGUACCCGCUCAUUAGACCCCAUAAAAGGUGUUGGUUGAUACAGACAGCAGGACGGUGGCCAUGGAAGUCGGAAUCCGCUAAGGAGUGUGUAACAACUCACCUGCCGAAUCAACUAGCCCUGAAAAUGGAUGGCGCUGGAGCGGGUCACCUAUACUCUGCCGUCAUAUGCUUGUAUUUUCUGUGAAAAGUCUUGCAAUGACGUGUAAGAGGGUCGUAGUGGUUGCGUUGAAGGCUUUGGGUGUGCACCCAGCUGGAGCUUCCACUAGUGCAGAUCUUGGUGGUAGUAGCAAAUAUUCAAGUGAGAUCCUUGAAGACUGAAGUGGAGAAGGGUUCCACGUGAACAGUAGUUGAAUGUGGGUCAGUCGAUCCUAAGGCACCGGCUAAAGCCGUCUAGACACUUCGGGGAGAUGAAAUACUUAACGGUAUUUUGUCUACCUGGUUGCCGAAAGGGAAGUGGGUUAAUAUUCCCACACCAGGCAUGGGAGAUGGUGAUCCGCGAGGAUUACUUUGCGCGGUGACGCAAACGAACUCGCAGACCUCGUGUGGAGUCCGGGCCAGAGUUCUCUUUUCUGGUUUAGAAAUCAUGUCCCUGGAAGUGGCUCAGCCUGAGAUAGGGAUGCUGGUCUCGUAAAGCGCAGCGGUUCCUGUUGUGUCCCGUGUGCUCCACAUGAGCCGUGAAAAUGCGAGGGAGCCAAUUUAAAAUCUCCUGCCUGAUCGUACCCAUAUCCGCAGCAGGUCUCCAAGGUGAACAGCCUCUAGUCGAUAGAAUAAUGUAGGUAAGGGAAGUCGGCAAAUUAGAUUCGUAACUUCGGGAAAAGAAUUGGCUCUAAAGAUUGGGUCAGUCGGGCUGUUGUGUGAAACAGGUGGACUUUGCUCGUGGCUGCUUGAGCUUCCUUACGGGGCGGCGCUUGUGGACUAGUAGUGAGGACUGCUUGUGGAGUGCUUCAGCUGCGUGCUAUUUCGCAAGAUAUAGUACUUCGAUUGGCGCUGAACAACCAGUUUAGAAACUGGCACGAACUCCGGGAAUCCGACUGUCUAAUUAAAACAGAGGAGACGGAUGGUCCUUGCAGGACGUUGACCGUGUCUGAUUUCUGCCCAGUGCUCUGAAUGUUAAGCCAAGGAAACUUGAUUAAGCGCGGGUAAACGGCGGGAGUAACUAUGACUCUCUUAAGGUAGCCAAAUGCCUCGUCGGCUAACUACCGACGCGCACGAAUGGAUCAACGAGAUUCCCACUGUCCCUAUCUACUAUCUAGCGAAACCACAGCCAAGGGAACGGGCUUGGCAAAUUUAGCGGGGAAAGAAGACCCUGUUGAGCUUGACUCUAGUCUGACUUUGUGAAGAAUCAUGAGAGGUGUAGCAUAAGUGGGAGUCGCAAGACAACAGUGAAAUACCACUACUUUCAUCGAUUCCUUACUUAAUCGGUAAGUAAGGAGUUCUGACCGUAACGAUGCCAACUAGCGAUCCGCCGAUGGAAAUUAUAUUGCCUUGGUGGGGAGCUUCCCGGAAACGAAAGUCUUCCGGUUCCGGGGGAAGUAUGGUUGCAAAGCUGAAACUUAAAGGAAUUGACGGAAGGGCACCACCAGGAGUGGAGCCUGCGGCUUAAUUUGAUUCAACACGGGGAAACUCACCCGGCCCGGACACUGUGAGGAUUGACAGAUUGAUAGCUUUUUCAUGAUUCAGUGGAUGGUGGUGCAUGGCCGUUCUUAGUUCGUGGAGUGAUUUGUCUGGUUUAUUCCGAUAACGAGCGAGACUCUAACCUACUAAAUAGUUGGUGCAUACUCUUUGUGUAUACAGCUUCUUAGAGGGAUUUGCGGCGUUCAGCCGAAAGAAAUUGAGCAAUAACAGGUCUGUGAUGCCCUUAGAUGUCCGGGGCUGCACGCGCGCUACACUGGCAAAAUCAACGUGCUUGUCCUACCCUGAAGGGGCCGGGUAAACCAUUGAAAAAUUUGCCGUGAUUGGGAUCGGAAAUUGCAAUUAUUUUCCGUGAACGAGGAAUUCCAAGUAAGUGCGAGUCAUCAGCUCGCGUUGAUUACGUCCCUGCCCUUUGUACACACCGCCCGUCGCUGCCCGGGACUGAGCCAUUUCGAGAAAUUUGGGGACCGUUGAUUUAAUUUUUCUAAAUUACUUUGAUGGAAACCAAUUUAAUCGCAGUGGCUUGAACCGGGCAAAAGUCGUAACAAGGUAGCUGUAGGUGAACCUGCUGCUGGAUCAUUACUUUAUGUGAUGUUCAAAUUUGAAUUCGCAACAAAAUAUACUGUUGUGAAACGGCUGUCGCUGGUGUCUAGGUGUUGCUGAUACAGUUGUUAACGUUCCGUGGCUUGAUAUGUGGUGACAUGUUUAGGACUCUUUAAUGAGUUUAAGACUUAAUGAAGCCUCUUAAGUGAGGACGCCAGCACUCUUUUUUUCUCUAUAUUUUUUAAAAAAACAGAAAAUUUCUAGCCUUAUCGGUGGAUCACUCGGCUCGUGGAUCGAUGAAGAACGCAGCAAACUGCGAUAAUUUGUGCGAACUGCAGAAACCUUGAGCACAAAAGUUUUGAACGCAUAUUGCAGCAUUGGGGUCAAACCCUUUGCUACGUCUUGGUUCAGGGUCAUUUUCUUUUAAAGCGAAAGCUUUAAUUUAUAUAUGCUAUUGAUGCUUUAUAUUUUAAGAGGUUUGUUGUUUGUCAUAAUUUUAUAAAUAUAACUACAAAAAUCAAGCAACUUUGACCUGAACUCAGUCGAGAGCACCCGCUGAACUUAAGCAUAUCAGUAAGCGGAGGAAAAGAAAACUAAACAGGAUUCCCCAGUAACGGCGAGUGAACAGGGAAAUGUCCAUCGCUAAAUCAUUUUGUCUCAGGCAUUAUGAGGUGUAGCGUAUAAGCGUAAACUUUGAUCGAGUGUCUCAAACAAGUCCCUUGACAGGGGUUCCACAGAAGGUGCAAGUCCUGUACAUUGAGAUAGUUUGAUCGAUAUCUGCGGUGCUUUAGAGUCGGGUUGUUUGGGAUCGCAGCCCAAAGUCGGUGGUAAACUUCAUCUAAGACUCAAUAUUGCCACGAGACCGAUAGCAAACAAGUACUGUGAAGGAAAGUUGCAAAGCACUUUUGAAGAGAGAGUUAAAGAGGACGUGAAACCGGUGAGGUGGAAACGGAUAGAGUCGGCGUAUCUCUCAAGUAUUCAUUUACAUUAUUUUUAUGUUGUGAUCUCUGAGCUCCAGAUUGGGACAGAAAGAAGCAGCAUAAUUUUCUGUGAUGCAUUUACUUGUUUGGUGCUUGGGGAUGUUUGAGGCAGAUUUGUGUCCGCCGUUUUGAGGCCAGCUUGCUGGUACCCAAACGGUGUUAGCAUUUUUGUCUUGAACAUUUGAGUAUGGCUUACGGGCAUUUAUUGGUUCGAUCUGAGUGUAAGUUACGGUCGCAUGCGACACGUGCUUUCCAAUUAGUUCGGUCCAGUUAAUGCUCUCGUACUCGUUCCCCAUUGUAAAAGCCGGUCAUCUAAUCCGACCCGUCUUGAAAACACGGACCAAGGAGUUUAUCGUGUGCGCAAGUUUUUGGGUGUUAAAAACCUAAAGGCGAAAUGAAAAGUAAAUGGCUCUUUAGAGUCUGAUGUGCGAUCUAGUAAAAAGUGCAGCAUGGCCCCAUUCUAACUGUUUACAGUAGGGUGGAGGAAGAGCGUACGCGGUGAGACCCGAAAAGAUGGUGAACUAUUCCUGAGCAGGACGAAGCCAGAGAAACUCCUGG